ACGUGUUUUCUCUCCCGUUCAGAUUCUGCGUCAUCAACGCCGGCGUGCUGUACGUUUACUUCAGCAGCUUCCAGCAGAUCGACGAGGAGGAGUACGGCGGCACGUGGGAGCUCACCAAAGAAGGCUUCAUGACGUCGUUCGCUCUGUUUCUGGUGGUGUGGAUAAUCUUUUACACAGCGCUGCACUUUGACUGAGAGGACCCCCACCCGGGACGCUAAACACGAACAUUUCAGUCGAGGGGAAAUCGCCUCUGACGGAGGCGCCUCGACGCCCCCGCAUACAGUAUGGCUAUUCAGUGUGCAGUGCAUCAUGGGAAAUCCAAGAUCGAUUUCUUUUUAAAUCCUGCAAGACCACCCCGUUGUUCGAGAUCCAAUAUGGCGGCUCACUUUUAGAAGGCCCCCUUCGUUUCAUUAACCUAUUAAUUUAGAUCUCCUCCUCCUCCACCUCUUCUUCAGAACACUAAUGGAUGUUUGGCCCUGCGAUGGCGCAGACGGGUAUCCGUCGGCCUCUGUGCUGCCUGAGGGGGGCACCAUGAGCUCGUAGACAUGACGAGUGGCGCGUCCUUGUGUAGUUUAUUUAGCUUCAAUCAGUCCCUGAGCAGAAAGUGUCUCCUUUUUAAUUGAACAAUUGAACGCACCGUUUUGGAUUCAUUAGAACUACCUUUAACGGACUGUUUGUGGCAUCACUUAAAUAAAUUGAAACCCUGAAAUUUUUUUGCCAUUUUAGGAAAAAAUCUGAUCAAUUGGUUACUUUGAAGGGGCACGGCAGCACAUUGAAGGUUAUCGUCAAGGUUACCAGUGUUUCUGUACAUUUUAAGCUUCAUGUGUUUUUAAGGAAAAUCAGAGCUUCCAUGUUUUUGUUUAGAGUUGUUUUUUUUUUUUUUUUCAAUGCAUGUUUUGCUCACCGGAUAAAAAAAAAAAACAAGCAUUUUCCAAUAAAAUAAAUAUGUCAAUUGUUUAUUUUUAAAAAGUCUGGUGUCCUGCAAAGGUUUAAAGGUCGCAGCCUGACCACUCGUGUUAAUUUUAACAUCGGUGGUGGCUGCAGCGAUCGCCUGACAUCCGAACCCGUUGCCAUGGUUACGUCAGUGUGGAACUAAUAACCGUCUGCGUCCUUGAGGCGGAGCGGGAAGAAAACGGGAAAACGUUCACCGGCACGAGUUGCUGUAACAUCAGGGUGUAAUUUUAUUAUUGAUUGCAUUAGUUAGGAGGGUAGAAAUAAUACAUGUGUUAUUUUAACACGUAGCUUCCGGAUGAGUCUUACUAGUUUUGAAAUUAAUUUAAACUUGUCUGUAAAUUCUGUACAAUGUCAGUUUUGUCAAACCCACCAUGUAUUUCAGAUGUAUUUGUACUUAUGUUAUGCAUCUCAACAUAUGUCAGUAUUUGAGUGAACUCUUAAUUACGGUUAAGAGUUAUUGUCAUUGACUGAUAUGCCCUGAAAGGAUUGUUUGUUUUUCUGAUCAAAUCUUUUGGGAUUCAUUAAACAUGGAGUUUAUUGGGCCUCCAUUUUCACAUA